GAUCAUGGCUCAGGAUGAACGCUGGCGGCGUGCUUAACACAUGCAAGUCGAGCGAAGCACUUAGGAAAGAUUCUUCGGAUGAUUUCCUAUUUGACUGAGCGGCGGACGGGUGAGUAACGCGUGGGUAACCUGCCUCAUACAGGGGGAUAACAGUUAGAAAUGACUGCUAAUACCGCCAUAAGAACCACCAAGCACCCGCCCACUGGUGGCGGGGUAAAAAGGUAAACCGUCCGGUGUUG
rnacentral:rRNA from 1 species